CUUGGGGCUGCCUAUACAUGCAAGUCGAGCGAAUGGAUUAAGAGCUUGCUCUUAUGAAGUUAGCGGCGGACGGGUGAGUAACACGUGGGUAACCUGCCCAUAAGACUGGGAUAACUCCGGGAAACCGGGGCUAAUACCGGAUAACAUUUUGAACCGCAUGGUUCGAAAUUGAAAGGCGGCUUCGGCUGUCACUUAUGGAUGGACCCGCGUCGCAUUAGCUAGUUGGUGAGGUAACGGCUCACCAAGGCAACGAUGCGUAGCCGACCUGAGAGGGUGAUCGGCCACACUGGGACUGAGACACGGCCCAGACUCCUACGGGAGGCAGCAGUAGGGAAUCUUCCGCAAUGGACGAAAGUCUGACGGAGCAACGCCGCGUGAGUGAUGAAGGCUUUCGGGUCGUAAAACUCUGUUGUUAGGGAAGAACAAGUGCUAGUUGAAUAAGCUGGCACCUUGACGGUACCUAACCAGAAAGCCACGGCUAACUACGUGCCAGCAGCCGCGGUAAUACGUAGGUGGCAAGCGUUAUCCGGAAUUAUUGGGCGUAAAGCGCGCGCAGGUGGUUUCUUAAGUCUGAUGUGAAAGCCCACGGCUCAACCGUGGAGGGUCAUUGGAAACUGGGAGACUUGAGUGCAGAAGAGGAAAGUGGAAUUCCAUGUGUAGCGGUGAAAUGCGUAGAGAUAUGGAGGAACACCAGUGGCGAAGGCGACUUUCUGGUCUGUAACUGACACUGGAGGUCCAAAACCUGGAGAGCCAACCUCGCUAGAGAUCCCUGGGAAUUCACACGCCGAAAAUAGAAGAGUGCAAAUGGGAAAUAGGGUUUCCCGCCUUUGGGUGCAAAUCUUCACGUUUUAAACACCCCCCCCGGGAGUAGUACGGCGGGGUUGCAGAAACAAAAUAGGAAAUCGACGGGCGGCCGCCAUUAGCGGUAGAAACAUGUGGGUUAAAUUCGCAGCCACGCGAAAAAACC
rnacentral:rRNA from 1 species